rnacentral:lncRNA from 1 species
ACAGGCUUUGUUAAUCAUUGUCCUAGAAAGGCAUGUCCUUUUCCUUUCCAACUUCCAAGCUCUGAGGUUGUUGUGCUCCCCUCCAGGCAAAAGUUUUCCCUUCCCUCCUAUUUUAUUCCUAUCACAAGAAUAAAGUGGCAGAUAGUGCCCAAGCAUGGUGAUGGUGGUGCAUGUCAUCACUACUCUCCCUUUUCCAUACAAAAACUAUCCCAACUAACAUCACCUACUCUUUCUUUAUC